UGCAACGUGGUGUAACAGGUAACACAUGGGCCUCAUGAGCCCUCACUGGCAGUUCGAGUCUGUCCGUUGCAA
rnacentral:tRNA from 1 species